AACUACGUGCCAGCAGCCGCGGUAAUACGUAGGUGGCAAGCGUUGUCCGGAUUUACUGGGCGUAAAGGGUGCGUAGGCGGAUGCUUAAGUGAGAUGUGAAAUACCUAAGCUUAACUUAGGGGCUGCAUUUCAAACUGGGCAUCUAGAGUACAGGAGAGGGAAACGGAAUUCCUAGUGUAGCGGUGAAAUGCGUAGAGAUUAGGAAGAACACCAGUGGCGAAGGCGGUUUCCUGGACUGUAACUGACGCUGAGGCACGAAAGCGUGGGUAGCAAACAGGAUUAGAUACCCUGGUAGUCC
rnacentral:rRNA from 1 species